GACUUACAGAGAGUUGGAGUGAGAAUUCCUCAGCAGUGGGGUGGAACCUGUGGACCCAUUGUGCGGUAACUUUGGUGAGGAAGGCAAAGAAGAAUCCGUCAUCUCCUCAAUAUCUGAAUGAGAGGACGCAGAUUUUGGGGACUUCUUCUUCCCGAAAGCUUGCUUGAAGGAGCUGCGUAACUGAAUAUACAAGAAGACCUCGCCACCCAUCCAAGAUAACACAAAAUGAGUGAGAAGUGU
rnacentral:lncRNA from 1 species